GUACUGCUGAAGAGUCCCAAACUAGGACGGACGAAACAACUGUCCAGUAC
rfam:Trichobilharzia regenti genome assembly, scaffold: TRE_scaffold0062471